UGAGAUAGAGGAUGCGUUUGGUCAUCAGUAGCCAUUCCGAUUCGUAGUGCAGUGCGGGGAAGAAACGAAAGGGGCCGACGCCGAAGAAAGGCGGGCUGCAAGACGCCGAUCUGGGAGUACGUAAUAAGAUGCGUGCGACUGUCGCAAAACGCGGAGCGCUAUC
rnacentral:ncRNA from 1 species